rnacentral:rRNA from 1 species
CUAAGAAUAUUCCGCAAUGGACGAAAGUCUGACGGAGCGACGCCGCGUGGAUGAAGAAGGCCGCAAGGUUGUAAAAUCCUUUUGCUGGGGAAGAAUAAGUCCAGGAGGGAAUGCCUGGAUGAUGACAUGAACCGGCGAAUAAGCCCCGGCCAACUACGUGCCAGCAGCCGCGGUAACACGUAGGGGGCAAGCGUUGUUCGGAGUUACUGGGCGUAAAGGGCAUGUAGGCGGUUAUGUAAGCCUGGCGUGAAAGUCCACAGCUUAACUGUGGGAUUGCGUUGGGAACUAGAUGACUAGAGUUACGGAGAGGGAGCUAGAAUUCCUGGUGUAGGGGUGGAAUCUGUAGAGAUCAGGAAGAAUAGCGAUGGCGAAGGCAAGCUCCUGGCCGAUGACUGACGCUGAGGUGCGAAAGUGUGGGGAUCAAACA